rnacentral:rRNA from 1 species
UACGGAGGGUGCAAGCGUUAUCCGGAUUCACUGGGUUAAAGGGUGCGUAGGAGGGCAGGUAAGUCAGUGGUGAAAUCCUAGGAGCUUAACUCUAGAACUGCCGUUGAUACUAUCUGUCUUGAAUAUUGUGGAGGUGAGCGGAAUAUGUCAUGUAGCGGUGAAAUGCUUAGAUAUGACAUAGAACACCAAUUGCGAAGGCAGCUCGCUACACAUAUAUUGACUCUGAAGGCACGAAAGCGUGGGG